UACGUAGGGUGCAAGCGUUAAUCGGAAUUACUGGGCGUAAAGCGCACGUAGGCGGAUAUUUAAGUCAGGGGUGAAAUCCCAGAGCUCAACUCUGGAACUGCCUUUGAUACUGGGUAUCUUGAGUAUGGAAGAGGUGAGUGGAAUUCCGAGUGUAGAGGUGAAAUUCGUAGAUAUUCGGAGGAACACCAGUGGCGAAGGCGGCUCACUGGUCCAUUACUGACGCUGAGGUGCGAAAGCGUGGGGAGCAAACAGG
rnacentral:rRNA from 1 species